UAUUUCCCUUUAUCUGUCAGUGUGGAUGGAAUACGUCGAAGUGUUAAUGCCCCGUGACCGGCAUCAUUUUGGGUUGACAUGCUUGAUAUAAGUGUGUUAUGUUAAUCUCAAUAACAUUAUAUCUUAGUGCUUGCUGCCACAACAGGAAAGAUCUGAGACAUCUACAGAUUGGAAAGAAGUCCCAUUUUCGGAGAGGCUGCAGGAAUACCUGGCUCAGGUGUCUGACGAUGAGGAUGCUGGUAAACUUGACUCCUUCAACUCUCCUGAGGAAUCAUCACUUGGCUCGGAUGAUUUGUCAACUUUCACAGAGACUGAGGCUGAAAGAAAAAUGACAGACAUCACAGAUCCAACAAACAGUGAUCAUGAGGAUGUUGCCAUGGAAACAGAAACAGAAGUUAAAUAAAGCCCUGAGAAGGAGAACCCUCCUAAGAAGCAAGAACCGCCAGCUGUUAAACAGACAUCAGAGAAAACAGCGCUGAAGAAAAGGAAAUGGGUUG